GAUAACAGUUUCUGGGAAAUGGCAUGGAAGGCUAUAGAAUACACAGUUUUGGGUUACACCCAUCCAGUGAUGAAUUGGUCUCAGCCAUUCUAACUAGGACAACUUGAAAAAAAAAUUCCCCC